GGUCCGCCGCCCCGGGGGCCGUACCCGGCACCGGGCUACAGAGACGAGAGGAACCGGCCCAGGCCUCCGUACCACCCCGGCUACCACGACCACGGUCACCCCGACUCGUACCGCCGCUCCCCGCCGCGCAGGAGGUACCCUUCCCCCGGGUCAGGAAGUCACCGAGGCGGAGAGUACUGGGCCGGUGGUCCGUCGAGAGAGAGGUCUCUGUCACCUCGUGGGCCGGUUCCCCUGGACCACAACCUGGUCAUCACCGUCGGCAACGAGCUGAUUGGACCGCCUGGGUCUGCCCCCUUACGCCAUCAUGACAGAGACCACCCUUCUCGACCAGAGCGGAGCCGAAGCUGUGGCCGACCUCACAGCCGAAGUCGAGAACCAAGUCCGGACGGGAGCCAGGCCAAGAGUCGGGGACGGAGUAAGAGCCAGGCCAGGAGUAAGAGCCAGGCCCGCAGCCAGAGUCGCAGUCCCGACCGCAGCCGGGCCAAGAGCCGCGGACGGAGCAGGAGUCAAGGUCCCGACCGGAAGCCGGGCCAAGAAGCCA